rnacentral:rRNA from 1 species
GGUCCAGAUUCUUACGGGAGGCAGCAGUGGGGAAUAUUGCACAAUGGGGGAAACCCUGAUGCAGCCAUGCCGCGUGUAUGAAGAAGGCCUUCGGGUUGUAAAGUACUUUCAGCAGUGAGGAAGGUGGUAAUGUUAAUAGCAUNUAUCAUUUGACGUUAGCUGCAGAAGAAGCACCGGCUAACUCCGUGCCAGCAGCCGCGGUAAUACGGAGGGUGCGAGCGUUAAUCGGAAUUACUGGGCGUAAAGCGCAUGCAGGCGGUCUGUUAAGCAAGAUGUGAAAGCCCGGGGCUCAACCUCGGAACAGCAUUUUGAACUGGCAGACUAGAGUCUUGUAGAGGGGGGUAGAAUUUCAGGUGUAGCGGUGAAAUGCGUAGAGAUCUGAAGGAAUACCGGUGGCGAAGGCGGCCCCCUGGACAAAGACUGACGCUCAGAUGCGAAAGCGUGGGGAGCAAACAGGAUUAGAUACCCUGGUAGUCCACGCCGUAAACGAUGUCUACUUGGAGGUUGGUGUCUUGAACACUGGCUUUCGGAGCUAACGCGUUAAGUAGACCGCCUGGGGAGUACGGUCGCAAGAUUAAAACUCAAAUGAAUUGACGGGGGCCCGCACAAGCGGUGGAGCAUGUGGUUUAAUUCGAUGCAACGCGAAGAACCUUACCUACUCUUGACAUCCAGAGAAUUCGCUAGAGAUAGCUUAGUGCCUUCGGGAACUCUGAGACAGGUGCUGCAUGGCUGUCGUCAGCUCGUGUUGUGAAAUGUUGGGUUAAGUCCCGCAACGAGCGCAACCCUUAUCCUUGUUUGCCAGCACAUAAUGGUGGGAACUCCAGGGAGACUGCCGGUGAUAAACCGGAGGAAGGUGGGGACGACGUCAAGUCAUCAUGGCCCUUACGAGUAGGGCUACACACGUGCUACAAUGGCGUAUACAGAGGGCUGCCAACCAGCGAUGGUGAGCGAAUCCCAGAAAGUACGUCGUAGUCCGGAUUGGAGUCUGCAACUCGACUCCAUGAAGUCGGAAUCGCUAGUAAUCGUGGAUCAGAAUGCCACGGUGAAUACGUUCCCGGGCCUUGUACACACCGCCCGUCACACCAUGGGAGUGGGCUGCACCAGAAGUAGAUAGCUUAACCUUCGGGAGGGCGUUACC